GGGGGCGAUCGGGCUCGACGGCGAUUGUAAAACCCAAGGUGCAUGCCGAUGUGCGGAAGACAUCGUAAAACCAUCCGCAAAAAAGCUAGUUGCGAACGACGCUAACUACGCCCUGGCAGCUUAAUCCCUGCUAGCGUUCGCCCGGUCAGUGUCUGUGCUGCCGGGGCCGAACGUCGACUUCACAGAACCGCGGUGAGGCCCGCUCUUGGCCGAUCCGUCAACACUUAAGGAGAUAAGCGUUGGCGUUCCGUGCCCAUCCGGCAGCCAUCGUCGAAAACCAAAGACCGGGCUAAGCAUGUAGUUCCAAGGGUGGAACAUUGUCGGACGGGGGUUCAAUUCCCCCCGCCUCCACCA
rnacentral:tmRNA from 1 species